AUUGAACGCUGGCGGCAGGCCUAACACAUGCAAGUCGAGCGGAUGAAGGGAGCUUGCUCCUGGAUUCAGCGGCGGACGGGUGAGUAAUGCCUAGGAAUCUGCCUGGCAGUGGGGGAUAACGUCCGGAAACGUGCGCUAAUACCGCAUACGUCCUGAGGGAGAAAGUGGGGGAUCUUCGGACCUCACGCUAUCAGAUGAGCCUAGGUCGGAUUAGCUAGUUGGUGGGGUAAAGGCCUACCAAGGCGACGAUCCGUAACUGGUCUGAGAGGAUGAUCAGUCACACUGGAACUGAGACACGGUCCAGACUCCUACGGGAGGCAGCAGUGGGGAAUAUUGGACAUUGGGCGAAAGCCUGAUCCAGCCAAGCCGCGUGUGUGAAGAAGGUCUUCGGAUUGUAAAGCACUUUUAGUUGGGAGGAAGGGCAGUAAGAUAAUACCUUGCUGUUUUGACGUUACCAACAGAAUAAGCACCGGCUAACUUCGUG
rnacentral:rRNA from 1 species